rnacentral:rRNA from 1 species
GACGAACGCUGGCGGCGUGCUUAACACAUGCAAGUCGAACGGAAAGGCCCUGCUUUUGUGGGGUGCUCGAGUGGCGAACGGGUGAGUAACACGUGAGUAACCUGCCCUUGACUUUGGGAUAACUUCAGGAAACUGGGGCUAAUACCGGAUAGGAGCUCCUGCUGCAUGGUGGGGGUUGGAAAGUUUCGGCGGUUGGGGAUGGACUCGCGGCUUAUCAGCCUGUUGGUGGGGUAGUGGCUUACCAAGGCUUUGACGGGUAGCCGGCCUGAGAGGGUGACCGGCCCCAUUGGGACUGAGAUACGGCCCAGACUCCUACGGGGGGCAGCAGUGGGGAAUAUUGCACAAUGGGCGGAAGCCUGAUGCAGCAACGCCGCGUGCGGGAUGACGGCCUUCGGGUUGUAAACCGCUUUCGCCUGUGACGAAGCGUGAGUGACGGUAAUGGGUAAAGAAGCACCGGCUAACUACGUG